CUGAACCCUGGGCUCUAUCAAUGCAAGAGAAGAAACAAAGCAUGGCGUUAAAAAGAGAACCUGACUACAAGUCCACCCAUCUCUCUUAAAGAAAGUGCUCAGCAGCAAUGCUAAGUUCUUAUCAAUAUUCUACUUAUUUCAAGCCAUGGUACAUGAACAACUGAUAAGCACUGAGCAUAAUAUUUGAAAGGAAGGAACCUACUCCUCUUACCAAAGUGUUUGGAGAUUCCCUGACUCCCCACUUCCCUAUCACAAGUAGCAUUUUGGAGAGAUGCUAACAAUGCCAGGUGAAUCAGCCAAGAUUCAGGCAGCAUGUAGGAAGAGAAACCCAUACAUACUUGGAUGGUCAAUCUUUAAAUGAUCCAGCACUAACUGGAUAGGUUUAAUUUUUAAAAGAAUCAUGCACUGGUUAUUUCCUCCCAUUGCAGAUCUACUCUCAAAUCUCAGUUUUCUCAGAAAGCAGCAGAGACGGCAAUAUAACCAUAUUCUGUGUUGCCCUAACAGGCACGAAGGAAAGUUUGACCACGUCCAGCCACCUCUCAAGAGAGAAGCAGGCUACACCCCACCUAUCCCACUCCCCUGUCCCUAUCCAGGGACUCCUAUGGGUGCUGGGCUAGCGCUAUACAACCAACGGCAUCAGUAGCAAUGGCAUGCAAAACAUUUGUUGAAUGAGGUGACAAGGCCUCUUUGUGCCUAUCCUACUGGUUUUCUGAGAGUCAAGGAAGGGGUGGGAGGAGAUUCCUAAAAUAUAAAGAGAAAUUUUGUAAUAAUGUUGUUAGACUCUCAGAUUGAGCUGGUCCUGCUAACAUUGCAUGAUAUAUAAGCACACGUAUUUAUGUUUGCUCAUUAAACUCUAUAUGUUGUGUGACAUGAAAUCCCAGCUUCUAGUUUCUUCCUUCUUGAAUCCAACUCCAACACUUGCACCCAGGGUAAUCUUAAAUCCACAGAUCCAAUUGUUGCUUUUCCUCUACUUUAAAAACACUCCUUGUUCACAGCAGUAGCUUUCUGUUGAUAACGAGAAUUGGCUGUGAAACCUUUUUCAAGAUGCAGAUUUCCCAACUGGAUCCCAGAGAUCCUGAUUCCAGGGCUGUAGGGUGGGGCUCAGGAGCCUAAAUUUUCCAAUUAUGAGCCAUGUUUGAGAUUUGCUCCUUUGUAGCUCUUCCAGGUGCUUCUGCAUAUUUAGCUCAUGGGAAUCACACAUUACUUUCUGAAAUAAGGCCAUAUAUAAGACUAGUUUUGGCAAAUACUGAGCAGAAGUGAUGUAUGUGUUUUAUACUCACAUGCGUAAAGAAUGGUCUCUGUUUAAAAUCCAGACAAUGUUUCCCACUCCAAAUGCCUCUGCCCCUGCCUCAGCAAUGAAGGAUGCUACCUGCUCCAGAUGGUACAGCUACUAGAUGGGGACGCCAUCUGCAACGUCCUGGAUGCCUGAGAAACCUUGUGGAUCAGAACUCCUCCUCCCUAACCUCAGCCUGAACUGGAUGUGUAAUAUGGGCAAGAAAUGGAUCAAGAAAUAGACACUAUUUACAGCAAGCCACCCAGAGCAAAAAUCCUCUUUGGAUUUCCUUUGGUUAUCGAAAAGAGAUAUUAAUAUAGCCCCACAUUUUCACUUAUAGCUUGAAAAUCUACGUGGUCCCAAUUAAGACACCCUACCCUCUGAAGUCCUCCUUGCACCGAUUUGACUUUGCUGCAAUUAGCACAGAGAAAUCUGGGACUGAAAGAAAGGUGUGAUAAAAACCCAUAUGGCAAAGGGAGAAGAUAGCUGUGUGCCAAAUGGUUUAUCGCUAAUGGGAUGAUGCUUCUUUAGCUGGCAAAUUUGUAUGCUGUGAAUGUCAUUAGCAUGAUGGCAAGUUUUUGAUAACUUCUAAAGUUGUACUACC